AAGAAAACUUUAAUUACGUUAAAAGAGUUAUUGCAGAGUUAUGAAAUCAGGCCAUCCAACACAGUAACACAGAAAAUUGAAUAGAAAGAAGCCCAUUAGAUAGAGACCCAAAACAUUAGCCUAAAACGAAAUCCAGAAUACAUUUGAGCUUCCCCACCUUUCUCUGCUUUCCUCAUACCCUAAAUUCACCGCAACAGUUUCCCCUCAAACGAUUCAUCUUCAUCCCAUCUCCAAAUCAGAUUCAACGAAAGGAAAGCUCAAACCAUAAGUCGUUACAAAAUACCUUCAAACUUAAUUUCUCUAACAAAGUAACUUCACACUUAAAUCACCCUUCAAACCUCAAUCCACGAUGGAGAAUCUCAAACAUCAAUCGUUCCUAAUAACUUCCACAUCACCACCACUUCUCCAUCCUCUUUAUAUAAAUUCUGAUCCUUCCACCAAUACAAUUUACAACUCAUUUCUACCCAUCAUAUACUAUCACAGCCAUGGCAU
rnacentral:lncRNA from 1 species